GGAUUUACGAGCGUAUGCAUACGCGAUGCGCUUCAAAUUUCCCCCUCUCACGCUCCCUUCCUCUCGACGGAGACAUCUCUGUCGCCCUCUCUCUCUCUCUCUCUCUCUCUUUCUCUCGUUCCUCUGAUCCGUUUCUCGCUUUUCCCUUCCUUUUUUACCCUUGCUGCCUUAACUUUACGACGUGAAUUUUAUCGAGUCAGAGGCUGUAAAGUUGCAAUCAGUCGAAGCGUCGAACAUUCCGCGGCGUAUGUUCUGUUCGCGCGUUGUUUCUAUCGCGUGCGUAGAUGGCGCAGCAUCGAUGAGACGUCGCUGUGAGGAAAUGGUGAAAUACGAAACGUUCCUGAAAGGACUGGCAAUAGUUCGACGACAACUUCCAUUCACGAUGGAAAGCUUCCUGAAAUGAAAGACUUCUACCAUUCUUCGCCUUCGUCGAGCGAUCGUAACUCUUAUGGCAUUUUUGAAAAGAUCCCACUUACGCGGAAAGCUCUCCGACUGCAUCGUCUCUGCUCCCUCCGCGGCGGUGCGCAAAUUUCAAAUAAAAUCAAAUCUCCGACUUUCUCGGGGAGAGCCGCCUCAAGCCGGCAGUUCCUACCACGAUUUGCAUAUUCCUUGCGUACGAAUUCGUAGCGAAUCACGCAAACGCCGGCGACGGAACGUUACAACGACACCCUCGAUUUGCAACCCCGAAGAAACUUUACGAAGAAUCGGGAAAGAAGCCUUGUUAAGUUCGAGAGAUACUAGUAGCAAUGAUAAUCUGAAUUUGUUGUAUGUAUUUGUUAUAUAUUUAUUUAUUCAUAGAAACAGAUACAGAAGAAUACCGAUGAAAGUACACGCAGUAUUCUAAACUAAUUAUUGUACGUAUAAUGUUCCCGUAUAGUAUGUUAUACGUCUGUCUAAGUGUAUAACGAGGAAGAUUGUAAGCUUCAGGCAGAAUCGGUAAUAACUAUUACACGCUUCACUUAAUUAUGUAAUUAAUUAAAUAUAAGACAGGGUGGAAGAAGAAACAUAAAAGAACGCAGCAGUAGUUGGAGGAAUUAAAAUAGUUAAGAUGAUGGAAGAAGAUGACUAAAGAAACCGUGUUCUUCAAAACAAAAAACUUGAUAUAUUACUAAUGGUAGGUGUAAGAAUAUCUAAACGGAAUUGAAAAGAGGUCCUACAUCCUUAUUAAUACUGCGAAUUAUUCUUCUCAUACGAACUGAAUUAUUAAGCAUUUAAUGAAUGUAAACAUCGUCGAUAAUUAAAAUUGCAAAGAUAAGAGUUUAGAAGAAGAAUUAGAAAAAUUAGCAGAAAUUAUCCGAUAGCUUUUUCCAAAGCGGGUUUCAUAAAAUUCCGUUUUUCCAAAUCUAAACUUUCGUUACAUACAAUUAUGAAACAUAACCUCGAUGAAACUUAAACGUACUUGAAGAUUAACCGAAACUUGUUAUAAAGUCAUAAUUUUCGUUCUUGGGAAAGACAAUCGAUGAGGAUCGAGAGGGUAAAGACUGCAGUAACGAACGGAGUUAGAUCGGCUGAGCCAAUCCAACGCAAACGAACAAACUCAAACCAUCGACGGUCGGCUAGCAUAGUAAUACGAAUGCCCUUCGUCAGAAUUCGUGCAAUUCCAAGCUUGCCGAUGAAUUCGUCGCCAGCCGUGCGAUUUCUCUUUGUGAAAGGGCAACGAGAACGACCGAAUAAGCCGGAAUUUUAAGCUAUGAAACUUUCGCAAUUAUCGAGUGUUCGGUAUCCUGAAAAAGUUAG